rnacentral:misc_RNA from 1 species
GUGGUGCGGGGGCGCGGC